AGGUCCUUGAAGGAUCCCUGGCCUUCACAGGCCCUCGCGUCCACGUGGCGGUGCGAGGGCCUUCACAGGCCAGGUCCUUGAAGGAUCCCUGGCCUUCACAGGCCCUCGCGUCCAGUGGCGGUGUGAGGGCCUUCACAGGGCCAGGUCCAUGAAGGAUCCCUGGCCUUCACAGGCCAGGUCCAUGAAGGAUCCCUGGCCUUCACAGGCCCUCACGUCCACGUGGCGGUGCGAGGGCCUUCACAGGCCAGGUCCUUGAAGGAUCCCUGGCCUUCACAGGCCAGGUCCUUGAAGGAUCCCUGGCCUUCACAGGCUUUUGCAUCCACGUGGUAGAGCGAUGGCCUUCACAGGCCUUCACAUUACC